rnacentral:rRNA from 1 species
GAUAGAUUAGUAUAAACAAGUAAAAAAUGGAGGACUAGGAUGUUAUAAGGUGGGGCGUGGCAUAUGAAAUCUAACCAAACAAAAAGAAAGGUUUCCCACAAAUUGAAAGAAGACCUUAGGAAUUGAAGCAUCUUAGUACUAAGAGUAAAAAUCAAGCGAAAUUCCGGGAGUAGCGGCGAGCGAAAGUGGAAAGGGCCAUUUUAAUGCGCAAAGAGGGUAAUAGACCCGUAAGAAUGGUAGUGAUUAGAUAUAAAUAGUAGAAUUAUUCGAAGAAAGGUGGACCAUACAUCUAAAUCUAAAAAUUAUAACAUACCGAAAGUGCAGAAGUACUGUGAAGGAAAGUUGAAAGAGUAUGAAAUAGCUUCUGAAAUUAGUUACUUAUAAGCAGACAAUAUUUGUUGUACCUUUUGAAUAAUGGGUUCGCGAGAGAAUUAUUUGGCAAAUUUAAAUUAAUAAAUGUAGGUGUAGUGAAAGCAAGGUUUUUAGGCAUUAGUCAAAUAGAGCCCGAAACCAAGUGAUCUACCCAUGGGCAGUUUUAAGUUUAACACUUAAGGGCGAACCGGUGAUUGUGGCAAAAAUCUCGGAUGACCUGUGGUUAGGGGUAAAAAGCCAAUCGAACUUGGAAAUAGCUGGUUUUCUACGAAAACUAUUUAAGUAGUGCGUCAUUAAUUUUAGUUUUUACACGGUAAAGCACUGAAUAGGGGUAUCUACAAGGUACUUAGAAACAAACUAUGAAUAUGUAUGAAUAAGAAUGAUAGACAGACAAUGGGCGAGAAGGUUCAUUGUCCAAAGGGUAACAACCUAGAUCAGAAGUUAAGGUCAUUAAAGUUUAAUUAAGUGGGAAAGGGGGGUAUUAAGCGAGAUAAUGAGGAAGUAGGCUUGGAGUCAGCCACCUUUGGAAGAGGACGUAACAGUUGACUCAAUAAAUUAAUAGGCCCUAAAAAUGUAGGUGGCUUAAAUUAGUUAUUAUUAGACCAAAACUCUGGAUAUUGUAUUAUGGUAGUAGAACGUUCUGUAAUAAAUGUAAUAGAUUAUUAGGAAAGUAUGUCUGAAGUGAUAAUGCGAACAUGAGUAAAAAAAUAGGGUGAGAACCCCUAUUCACGGCCCCUGGUUUCCAAUAAAAGAUUAUUGGGUUAUGCGGCCCCUAAACAAUAAAUGUCAGGAGGAUGAUGGGUAAAAAAUAAUAAGUGAAAAAGUUAUUUUUUUAAUAGGCUGUACUAAAACUAACACAAGUGGGCAUUAAGUGGUGGUAAAAUUUAUUUUAAGGAACUCGGCAAAAUGACUCUGUAAGUUCGCGAGAAAGGGUGCUAAUUAUGGGCUUUAAACAGUAAUAGGGGGAUAAUUAGUCUCGGAAAAGAGGGGAUAUCGACUGUUUACCAAAAACAUAGCUUUCAGUUAAGCCGUUGGUUUAAAGGAUUGGAGGUGAGGCCUGCCCAAUGAUUGUAUCUAAACUUGAAUAAUAAAAUAAGUUGUUUAAUUAAAGACAAUUAAAUGGCCGCGGUAACUCUGACCGUGAUAAUGUAGCGAAAUAAAUAGCUAAUUAAUUGUUGGCGAGUAUGAAUGGCGUAACGAAUGUCCCGCUGUCUCAAGAUAAAAACCAGUGAAAUUGAAAUUGUAGUGAAGAUGCUACAAAUUAAUUGUAAGACGAGAAGACCCCGUUGAGCUUUACUGGAGGCUUAAAUUGUUUUUUUAUAAUUAAGAUGCGGGUAUAGUUUAAAUUCCACUUCUUAGAUAUAAUAAAACCGCGCCAUGGGCAAGUUUAAGCUGGACAGUUUGGUUGGGGCGACCGCCUUCUAAAAAGUAACGAAGGCAAACAAAGGUGAGUAAGGAAUAGUUUAGAGUAAAAGCCUGACAGUAAGGGGGACUCCCAAGCUGACACCGGCUGAAUUAGGUAAAAUUCAGUAUAUUGGUUGAAAUCAAUACUGUGGGUUAUAGUGACCCGUUAGCUAAGAGUGGGGUUGCUAACGAGUAACGGAUAAAAGUUACCACGGGGAUAACAGCGUAAUCUUAUUUGAGAGUUCAUAUUGAUGAUGAUGUUUGCGACCUCGAUGUUGAAUUGUGAUAUCCCGGGGGUGCAGCAGCUCCCAAGGGUUGGACUGUUCGUCCAUUAAAAUCGUACAUGAUUUGAGUUCAGACCGGCGUGAGCUAGGUCGGUUUCUAUCUACAAUUUUGGGCUGAAACAUAAGAUACAACUAUACUUUAGUACGAAAGGAUUUAGUGAUAGAUAUCCGCUGGUGAACCAAUUAUUUAGAUUAAAAUAAAUUGUUGGGUGGCUACGAUAGUAUUAAUUUUUAAUUAAAACUAAGGGGGUUAAAUUAAUUCCUGAAAGCAUCUUAAGGAAGAAGUAAAAUAGGAUUUUAGGUUUCAUAGAUAAGGUCGUUUGAGAAUAAGACGUUGAUAGGGUCUAGUGUGAAUUCCAAUAGCAUAGGAUUACUAAUAACUAAAUACUAAUCUAUUUG